CCCUAGCACUGGCCUCAGCAGGAGGUAACUUCCUAAGCAAAUGAUUGGAUUCACAGGGCUCUGCAUUCUGAAACAAAACCUUCUCCAGGAAUGCCCAUUCAUUAUCUUAGGAAGAUGAACAAGAUCCUGAAGUUUGUGCUAUGAGCUUAUCAGUCAAUGAAGAUGAUGUACGAGAUUCUGCAGCUGUGGUGAAGGUUUGGCGAUGACUAAGUUCUUUGGAAAGCAGAAAAGAAGUAAAACAUUCCUGAAGCUUGAGUGUGAUCGUCUUUAUGAAUAGUGAACUCUGGGAGUUGGUGAGGGACACGGAGGCCUGGCGUGCUGCGAUUCAUAUGGUCGCAAAGAGUCGGACACGACUGAGCAACUGAUCUGAUCUGAUAGUGCUAGAGGGAUUUGUAACAGGGUCAUCCACAUGAAUUCAAUCCACUUGAAUUCAAUGGGCCUUGUGUAAGAAAAUGGUGCCCAUUAAGUUUGGUUUCUGGGUAUAGAUGUAGAGGGGCUCUGAGUGUCACUGCAUCCUGCCUGCCCCCCUGCCCCCAAUACCACAUUGGCUUUGAAGAGGGGCUGUUCAUAUUUCAGCUGAAGGUGAGCAUAUAUCAAUUGAGCCCUCCUGGAGGAAGACGAAAGACAAAACAAGCAUUUGGCUUGUCUGGGCCACACACCCUCAACCAAGAUAGGAGUGAACAUGUUUGGGAACAUCAAAGGCAGUAUGAUAUCUUAAGCAUAAGGAGAUUAACAUUUACAAAGGUUUGCCCCUCGGCCGGUUCCCAAGAAUCCAGCAGACAGAGCCAGAAGGGACAAUUAACAUCACCCAUCUGCACUGGGCUCUUCUGACGUCUCAUAUUAAUUUCUUUUGAGCUUUCUGCUAGAUUUAGGAUGGAGGAGACAAAGUCUGGUCUCCUAUUUCAACAAGAAUCCUCCACACACUAGGGAGAUGUUAAAAAAGCACUGUGAAAUGACAGCCUAGGAACCAAGUCUUGGGGAAGUAUUUUGCCCUCACAGGUACCAGGCCACUUGCACUCAGACUGACAAACAGUCUUUACAGACCUUCUCAUAGAGAAAGAGUCAGCACUCUCCUAGGCCAGCCAGGCAGUAAAAAGCAGGGCUGAGACUGCAUGAAUGGAGGCGGGGUGAGGCACUGGCUUUGUCCCUUUGAAGCAAGAGGCCAAGAAUAUCUCAACACACUCCAAGUACCAGCAACAGUAGGCAAUGGAUGGAGACCAAAAUCCCUUACAGCUGUUGGAAACCAUACCCUAUUCAGAGAUAAUUGGCAAUUAGUUAAACAACUCCUGUUUAAAAUACUCCUCCUCCCCACCCUCAAAGACAGCUGUGUUUAAAAAGGGGCGGGGAGAGACUUCUCAAGAAAUGUGGAAACCUAAUCUUCAAGUCAAUAAAACAAAACAGGGCUCUGGGAGUAAAGG
ensembl:lncRNA